GACGUAGGGCGCGAGCGUUGUCCGGAUUCACUGGGCGUAAAGGGUGCGUAGGCGGUCGGGUAAGUCUGUCGUGAAAUCUCCGAGCCCAACUCGGAAACUGCGUCGGAUACUAUUCGGCUAGAGGAAUGGAGGGGAGACUGGAAUUCUCGGUGUAGCAGUGAAAUGCGUAGAUAUCGAGAGGAACACCAGUGGCGAAGGCGAGUCUCUGGACAUUUCCUGACGCUGAGGCACGAAAGCCAGGGGAGCAAACGGG
rnacentral:rRNA from 1 species